rnacentral:tRNA from 1 species
AGCUAAUGAGCUUGAUAUAAGCAUAUGUUUUGAAAACAUAAAAUAGAAAAUAAUAGCUUCUAUUAGCUU